rnacentral:rRNA from 1 species
GAUGAACGCUGGCGGCGUGCCUAAUACAUGCAAGUCGAGCGGACGGACGAUGAUCUUGCUUGUCUGUUGUUAGCCGCGGACGGGUGUGUAACACGUGUAUAACCCACCUAUCAGACUGGUAUAUUCUCGGGACACCGGAUCUUACACCGGAUAAUAUUUUGAACCGCAGGGUUGAUUAGUGAAAUACGGUGUUUCUGGCAGUUAUAGCUGGAUCUGGGCUUGAUUAGGUGGUUGUUAAGGUAACGGCUUACCAAGGCAACGAUGCGUAGCCGAACUGAUAGACGGAUAGGCGGCCUUGGAACUGAGACACGGUCAAGACUACUGAGGGAGGCAGCAGUAUGGAAUGGUCGGCAAUGGGCGAAAGCCUGACGGAGCAACGCCGAGUGAGUGAUGAAGGUCUUCGGAUCGUAAAACUCUGUUAUUAGGGAAGAACAGAUGUGUAAGUAAAUGUGCACAUCUUGACGGUACCUAAUAAGAAAGCAACGGCUAACUACGUG